GUCGAGCGAACAGACGAGGAGCUUGCUCCUCUGACGUUAGCGGCGGACGGGUGAGUAACACGUGGAUAACCUACCUAUAAGACUGGGAUAACUUCGGGAAACCGGAGCUAAUACCGGAUAAUAUAUUGAACCGCAUGGUUCAAUAGUGAAAGACGGUUUUGCUGUCACUUAUAGAUGGAUCCGCGCCGCAUUAGCUAGUUGGUAAGGUAACGGCUUACCAAGGCGACGAUGCGUAGCCGACCUGAGAGGGUGAUCGGCCACACUGGAACUGAGACACGGUCCAGACUCCUACGGGAGGCAGCAGUAGGGAAUCUUCCGCAAUGGGCGAAAGCCUGACGGAGCAACGCCGCGUGAGUGAUGAAGGUCUUCGGAUCGUAAAACUCUGUUAUUAGGGAAGAACAAAUGUGUAAGUAACUAUGCACGUCUUGACGGUACCUAAUCAGAAAGCCACGGCUAACUACGUGCCAGCAGCCGCGGUAAUACGUAGGUGGCAAGCGUUAUCCGGAAUUAUUGGGCGUAAAGCGCGCGUAGGCGGUUUUUUAAGUCUGAUGUGAAAGCCCACGGCUCAACCGUGGAGGGUCAUUGGAAACUGGGAAACUUGAGUGCAGAAGAGGAAAGUGGAAUUCCAUGUGUAGCGGUGAAAUGCGCAGAGAUAUGGAGGAACACCAGUGGCGAAGGCGACUUUCUGGUCUGUAACUGACGCUGAUGUGCGAAAGCGUGGGGAUCAAACAGGAUUAG
rnacentral:rRNA from 1 species